AACGAACGCUGGCGGCAGGCUUAACACAUGCAAGUCGAACGCCCCGCAAGGGGAGUGGCAGACGGGUGAGUAACGCGUGGUAAUCUACCUAGUUCUACGGAACAACAGAGGGAAACUUCUGCUAAUACCGUAUACGCCCUACGGGGGAAAGAUUUAUCGGAAUUAGAUGAGCCCGCGUAAGAUUAGCUAGUUGGUGGGGU
rnacentral:rRNA from 1 species